rnacentral:sRNA from 1 species
CCUGGAGACUGAAGUCCUCUGUUUGUACAGAGAACAGGUACAACAUGGGCAACAGUAGGAUAAGCCUCCUCACAUUGCUCCCAACCUGCAGGGAUCAAGUCCACAAAGUAUUUGCUAUGGAUGAAAUUUACCUCUACG